GCAUUGAAUUUAGUUAGUUUCAUAUUUUAAACGCUUCUGCUAACAAAAUUAUACGUAAAAAUUUCGUAGUUAUCAUUUUCUUUUUUUAAAUAAUAUUAAAAUUAUAAAAUGGAUUACACUUGGGCGGUUACAUUGCUGUUGGGUUGCGUAUUGGGCUUUGUAGUCGGUCUCCAUUCGUAAACCGCAAAGAGAAGUGCAUGAAGAGAAAUCCUUUGAAUAAUAGCUUUUGGCAAACAACUAUUCAGACCUAUAAAAUUUACGGAAAAUGGUUUGAGUAGAUUUUCUUGGGAUUUCCCACAAUUGAAUGUGAAUCGUAAUGCUUGAACCUUAACUUAAAUAAAUGAGAUUAUUUUAACCACUGAAAAACUGUUGUGGAAUUCAUGACUUGGGCUUUCUUCUUAAAGUUAUAUAUCUUAUGUUGUGCUUCUAUAACUAGAUGCUUUUCGAUGUUCUAUAAAAGACCUUCUCUACAUCAAAUUCCAAUAUCAUAAAAAUUGCAAUUAUUCCAAGAAUCUUUAAUGAAAGUUCUUGAGUUUUCUGUCUCAUAUAAAAUUGAUUCUCAAAUUUUUCGCUUUUUGAGUAGCAUGCUUUGAGACGUCACGUUCCAAGCAACCCCAAGGAAUCAGAUCAGUAUAAAGUAGUGUUCCGUGAGUAUCGUAUCGUUCUCUACACAACCUAUUUUUUUUUUUGGAUUUUCUAAAUUUUUGGAUUUGUAAAGGUAAUUCAAGUAGAUAGGGGUAUAUAAACAGAAAAGAAAAUGAAGUUGGAUUGGCUAGUCACUCUGCUGGUGGGCUGCAUUCUUGGUUAUUUAAUUGGCGUUCAAUGUUGAGCUUCCAGCAAGUCGAGAAACUAGAUGAAAAAUUGACAUGAGUUAAGAAAUUUCUCAGAGGGGAGACGACGUUGCUCAUAACCACAUUAUCUAGUGUAAGGACAUUUUUUCUCCCCAAGGAAUCAGAUCAGUAUAAAGUAGUGUUCCGUGAGUAAUUCAAGUAGAUAGGGGUAUAUAAACAGAAAAGAAAAUGGAGUUGGAUUGGCUAGUCACUCUGCUGGUGGGCUGCAUUCUUGGUUAUUUAAUUGGCGUUCAUUGUUGAGCUUCCAGCAAGUCGAGAAAAUAUAUGCAAAAUUGACAUGAGUUAAGAAAUUUCUCAGAGGGGAGACGACGUUGCUCAUAACCACAUUAUCUAGUGUAAGGACAUUUUUUUCUCCACUAGAUCUUCAUGAUGAGUCACAUUAUAUCAUAUGGCCUGGGUUUAAUAACGGGCUUGAUGCUGUGCAAACGUUGUGGUCCACCCUAACCAGGUUACAAAAUUACCGAUUGAAGAAACUAAAUCAUUUCCUAUCAAGACAUAUAAAUCAAAUAUGUACAAACUAGAUAAAGUGCAAUAAUAUUAGAAAUAUGUAGUAUAUAAGCAAUAAAUAAUGAUCAAAUAUUGA